AUAGUUCGCUAACCCAUCCGCUAG
rnacentral:siRNA from 1 species